CUGGACCCAUUCACUGGAGCGUUCACCUUUAGUCAAAUUAGAAAUGAAAAUUCAUUUAUAAAAGCAGAUUUAUAACAGUUUGCACUGAGCAAAGUGCUGUACAUGGUGCAUUCAGUAGGCAAACAUGAAGGCAAAAUAACAACAACAACAUUAGAAUCAAAUAAAAAUAAAAGACAUGAAACCCGGACAUGCACACACAAACAAAGGCAGUAGUGCAGAGGUCAGAUAGCUAAUGGGGAGGGAAAGCAAGGUUGUACAGGUGGGUUUUUGAGCCUUGAUUUAAAGGCAUAAAUGGAGGGGGCAUCACGUCUGUCGGGUUCCAGUUGGUUCCACAAGCGCGGAGCAGCUACUGCGAAGGCCCGGUCACCUUUCUGUUUGAGUCUGGAGCGGGGGAUCCAGUGAAGGGAAGCAAGAACGGGUGUGAUAUGCUCCCACCUUUUUUGACCCAGUCAACAGUCUUGCUGCUGCAUUUUGAACUAUUUGGAGGCGUGAUAUGAGGGACUGAGGGAGACCAAGGUAGAGGGAGUUACAGUGAUCCAGCCGUGAUGUUAUGAAAGCAUGGAUGACUAUUUCCAGAUUGUGGUAUGAUAGGGAGUGCUUUAUUUUAGAGAUGGUUCUGAGCUGGUAGAAGCUGCUCUUCACGACGGAGGAGAUUUGCUUACUGAAGCCUAUCUCUGAAUCAAAAAUCACGCCCAGAUAUCUAGCAGAUGGUUUUAUGCAGUAGCGUGCAGUGGCCCUUCAUUUCAGUGGGGCAGAAACUACUGGCGUAUGACCACACAAUUUAUGUAUUUUUUUAACAUGUAUAUUUUGAGCUACAUUAAAACAUGUUAACGAAACUAAUUGUGAGUAAGAAUUAAGAAUAAACUAAUAGCCUAAUGUAACUGCGCGCUUUUGAAGUGCCAUCCGCAACACUCGUCAUAUGAUGUGGGCUGAAUAGAAUAGCCUAUGUGCAAUGGAAACACCAACUAGGUAUGCAAAGUUAUUCCUCCAUAUUUUAUUUUAACAAUCAGCUGAAGAACAUACAAAUACCUGC